rnacentral:rRNA from 1 species
CUACGGGGUGCUGCAGUGAGGAAUAUUGCGCAAUGGGGGAAACCCUGACGCAGCGACGCCGCGUGGAUGAUGAAGGCCUUCGGGUCGUAAAAUCCUGUCAGAAGGAAAGAAGUGUAUGGUAGCUAAUAUCUGCCAUACUUGACGGUACCUUCAAAGGAAGCACCGGCUAACUCCGUGCCAGCAGCCGCGGUAAUACGGAGGGUGCAAGCGUUGUUCGGAAUUACUGGGCGUAAAGCGCGCGUAGGCGGUUUUAUAAGUCAGAUGUGAAAGUCCACGGCUCAACCAUGGAAGUGCAUUUGAAACUGUAAGACUAGAGUAUUGGAGGGGGUAGUGGAAUUCCCGGUGUAGAGGUGAAAUUCGUAGAUAUCGGGAGGAAUACCGGUGGCGAAGGCGACUAUCUGGCCAAAUACUGACGCUGAGGUGCGAAAGCGUGGGGAGCAAACAGGAUUAGAUACCCCUGUAGUC